UUUGUGGUUCAACUGAUUUGAAGAGCUUGCUCAGAUAUGACGAUGGACAUUGCAAAGAGUGGCGAACGGGUGAGUAACACGUGGGAAACCUACCUCUUAGCAGGGGAUAACAUUUGGAAACAGAUGCUAAUACCGUAUAACAAUAGCAACCGCAUGGUUGCUACUUAAAAGAUGGUUCUGCUAUCACUAAGAGAUGGUCCCGCGGUGCAUUAGUUAGUUGGUGAGGUAAUGGCUCACCAAGACGAUGAUGCAUAGCCGAGUUGAGAGACUGAUCGGCCACAAUGGGACUGAGACACGGCCCAUACUCCUACGGGAGGCAGCAGUAGGGAAUCUUCCACAAUGGGCGAAAGCCUGAUGGAGCAACGCCGCGUGUGUGAUGAAGGGUUUCGGCUCGUAAAACACUGUUGUAAGAGAAGAAUGACAUUGAGAGUAACUGUUCAAUGUGUGACGGUAUCUUACCAGAAAGGAACGGCUAAAUACGUGCCAGCAGCCGCGGUAAUACGUAUGUUCCAAGCGUUAUCCGGAUUUAUUGGGCGUAAAGCGAGCGCAGACGGUUAUUUAAGUCUGAAGUGAAAGCCCUCAGCUCAACUGAGGAAUUGCUUUGGAAACUGGAUGACUUGAGUGCAGUAGAGGAAAGUGGAACUCCAUGUGUAGCGGUGAAAUGCGUAGAUAUAUGGAAGAACACCAGUGGCGAAGGCGGCUUUCUGGACUGUAACUGACGUUGAGGCUCGAAAGUGUGGGUAGCAAACAGGAUUAGAUACCCUGGUAGUCCACACCGUAAACGAUGAGUGCUAGGUGUUUUGAAGGGUUUCCGCCCUUAAGUGCCGCAGCUAACGCAUUAAGCACUCCGCCCGGGGGAGUACGACCGCAAGGUUGAAACUCAAAGGAAUUGACGGGGACCGCACAAGCGGUGGAGCAUGUGGUUUAAUUCGAAGCAACGCGAAGAACCUUACCAGGUCUUGACAUCCCUUGACACUCCCGAAGAUGGAGCGUUCCCUUCGGGGACAAGGUGACAAGUGGGGGAUGGGUUGUCGUCACCUCCCGUCCGGGGAGAGGUUGGGGUUAAUUCCCGCCCCGAGGGCAACCCUUAUUAUAAUUGCCGCCAUUCAUUUGGGGGCCCCCUUGAGACGGCCGGUGCAACCCCAGAAAAGGGGGGGG
rnacentral:rRNA from 1 species